ACUGCACAGCAAAGCAUCUUGUGUAGAUACACCCAGUGAAACCUUGCUGCUUAAAAUACGCAUUGGAACUUCUUUUUCAUGAAGGAGACGGGAGAAGAAUGGUGGAAGCCCUGCAUUUAAUUAACAUUACAGAUGAAGGGCUAAAUCCUGCAUUAUCAUUAAGACCUCUAAGUGCCACUUUUAUGGUUUUAGGCAUCUAAAUGCAAUUGCAUUUCACCCAGCAUGAAUUUCAUGAUCGUGGAUAAGCAAGAAAGUUAUCUCCAUAUUUUCCCUUGAUGUCUAACCAGACUGGAUCUUAUGCUAUUCCACAUGCUCAGUAGCAAUACAGCCACCAAGAUGUCUAAUUCUAUCUGGCCUCCCUGAAAUUGCAAUCCAGUGUCACUGGCGAAGCAUAUCAGUUUUACAAAAGACCCCUAAAUUGCAGUUGGCAAAAAAACAAUAACUUGUAUGAUUUGGCUUGCAUAAUGGUAACAGUGCUGCUGCUAUCCAGUAGUUUAAUGGCUAAGGCACUGGUACAAGACACAGAAAGCCUACGUUCUGGGAAGAGAUCAGUACUCGCAUCCCAAAACAGUAGCUUAACCACCAAGCUUUAGCCUAGGCAGGGCUGAUACCACUGUCUUAGCAAAGUUAGGCUGAUUGGUAGUGAAGAAGGAAAGAUUUGUGCUGUCAGGAGAACAAGCAAAAUAUAGCUUGACCUUGAAGUCUGAUGAGGAGACUGGUUUGGGAGAGAAGGAAUUUUUGCUUCUAGUGCUGUUUGUGCAUUUUACAUUAAACUGUCCUGGGGAAAAAAUGCAUAAAUGUCACUGGGAGCAGAAAUCAGAAUUCUUCAUACGGUGCAUCACCUACUGGAAUACCAUCCCAGGGGGCCUGUUGUAUAAGCUCACAUUGCACUAUUUGGAAAUCCUUUAAGUUACAAUACUUCUAAUUGCUGUACUUCUCCAUGCAGGAAAUGCCUGUUGGAAGACAUCCAGAAUCCUUAACAGGAAGGAGUGUGUACCUGUGUUUGGAGAGGAAAAGAAACCCUGGUGGAUCACUAGUAGCAAAACUCAAGGUCUAUGACUUUUUCCUUUCAGAAAAAUAAAGCUCACACAUGUACCAUAUUCAGCUUUCUUCAGCCUAUUUGGCAUUCCUCACAAGCCCAAACUUUUAGGACCCUAGCCUACUUUCUCCUUUGUCGGCUCUCUCCUGAAAUGACAUUAUGACUCUCAGGUAGAGGCAUACCAGGGCAGGUCUGUACUGGGGUGGUUAUCAAUGCACAAGGCCAUACUGGCUCCAACUGUACCUAUCACAGCAGUAUGGUUGGCUGCUGCUGUGGGACAACUGUGAUAUCUGGAGCUGGUGCCCAGGUUCCCUACUCCCAGUUAUGCUAUUGCUCUCAAGUCCUUUUUGCAAUAUUUCAGCCUGGCCAGUUGUUCCUCAUUUUGCAUCUGUGCAUUUGAUUAUUCCUUACUAAAUGUAGUAUUUUGUACAUAUAAUUUCUUCCUGUUUACCUCGGACCAUUUUUCCAAUUGAUCACUUUUAACCUGAAUCCUGUCCUCCAGUUUGUUUGUUUUUUUGCCACACCCAUCAUGGUGUCAUCCACAGAUUUAAUAAGAAAAUUCAGUUCCAUCCUCCAAGUAAUUAAAGAACAAAUUGAACAGUACUGAAACCAAGGUAGCCUCUUGGGGAGCUCUGCUUGAUGACUCCUUCCUGCUUUACAUUACCUUAUAAGACAUCAAGGAUGGUCUUAUUAUUGUCCUGUACCAGAAGAACUGCAGGUUUAUUAGGAACAGCUAUUGAGGGAUUACCUCCUUUUGUGUUGCUGGCAAGAUUUUGACUCGCAUCAUCAGAAAUCAGCUCAGCUCCGCUGGAGACUCUCCCGCCCAAAGGCUGGUGUGGCUUCUGUCCUAGCAGAUCAAUAAUUGACCUGAUAUUUCUCUGAAACAGCUGCUGGAAAAGUAGAAAGAGCAAUGCAGAGAGAUUUAUGUGUUCAUAGAUCUAAUCAAAACAUUUGACAAUCUCUCAAAGCAUGUUAUGGGCUCUAAUGCCAAAACUAGGACCUUUUCCAUGCCUGUUGUCAAUGUCAGGAAAGCUGUCAGCUUUUGUGACAACAUGAAAUGGUUUGUUUCCAUUGCUAAUGCACAAACCUAAAUUUUGGCAUCACAAUGACUGUUAGAAAUGACUGUAUACUAGCUCUUGUCCUCAAUGUUGUGUACCUUACUUUUGUCAUUCAUGCUGCCUUUGAUAGCAACUUCCUUCUUUGAUCCCCUCCCAAGUCUUCAGAAGGCAGUAUAGGAGAUACGGCAGGCUGUUUUUUCUCAGCAGAUUACAUUGAAAGUUGGCAUGGAGUGAUGGGUUGGUGACUUUAAGCUGGUGAAUGCUGGCAGAUAAGAGUCAAGCUGAGCUGAGCUGCGGUCUUUACAGUUGAGAGUUAAGCUAAGCUGUAGCUAACGGUUAUGGCCCUAAGCAGAGCCUGUUGGCAGUCAAACCCACAGAUCAGUUGUGAAAAGGUUGAGCUUAUGCACAAUGCAAAUCCUUUCAGUAUCCAUUGACUAAAGGAAACCUCAGUCUUCCAAUACCUGGGAAACAUGGAACUUGCAGAUCGAGUGCGUGAUGCAGAAGUAUGGAAGAGGACUUCAUGUGCUUCGGGAAACUUUUCUGCCUUGAAGUCUUGCAUGGCAAAGAAGAGGCCUUCUGGUGGCAACAAAGAUCUCAGUCUUUAAGGUGAUGAUGUUCUCCUGACUCCUUUGUGUUAGUUACACAACUUUUGUAGUUGGAGAACUUGGGCUAGAUUUCAAACUGAUAUUAUGGUGCAGAGAGGGCAGGAGUCCCCUCAGAAGCCCACUGCCCCUCCUUCCCAUGGGAGAUACUGCUUUGCUGUGAGAGGAGGUCCAUGUCAGGUGUCUUGCCAAAGCCAGGAUAACCUUCCCCUGGCCCUACAGCUGACACAAUUUUAUAUGGUGAGCUGUGAUCUAUAUCCCUUAAUGUGGUAGCAGCUGCAGCGCUAGAGAGUAGUUAAACUGGCUUUUGGUGGUGACCCCUGCCACCUAGCAGUGGCAGCAUCUCCUAUGGGAUAGAAGGGCAGUGGGCUUUUGAGGGGGACUUUUGCCUUCUGCUCUAUACAGCCCAAGUCUCGAGGCCCUGUGCCUCCAUUCUGGUGUCUUCCUUUACUAAAGGCCUGGGGCUUAUGUCCUAGUGACCUACCCAUAGUUAUGCUCCUGUCUGAGGCUCAUCUUGGGAAUCCUCUGGUGGCAGAGGGUAUAACAGUGAGGAACUACACAGAACCAGAUCAUUAUACCUGAAAACAGAGAUCCAUAAAGUAGGGCUUCACUGGCUAAGGUGCAUAUAUUGCAUGUGUGAUGAUGACCAGACCACAAAGAAGUUUUUUGGUGGGAGAAUGAAUGAAAGUGCAUAACUUACUGGUAGACUAUAGCAGCAUCAAAUCUGACCUGAGGAAAGUCAGUUUGCUUGACAACUAGGUACUGGCCUCUGAUUGCAGAAUGUGGCAUGCACCAGCCAGAUGUGUGAGGUAGAAAAUCAAAAGAGAACUUUUACAAGCAUCUGCUGAGAGACACAGAUAUUGACAUCUGCAAAAUCCUUAUUGCUUAUGCUAGAGAUCUAGUCAGUUUUGUUAAAAUGCAUCAGCAAUAUUGGGAGCAGGGGCCAGGAUCUAGGUCUCUUUCAAUGGGGGUGGGGGGGGCACUUAGCUGGGCUACAGAGAUGCAUUCUCACUUGUUUGCUGUCCCAUAGGGCUUGGGAAUCUUUUUAUUUUUCCUAUUAGCUCAGCUUUAAGGCAGAGGGGUGCAGGUUACUCUCAGUCUAGUUAAGCCUAUAGCAUAGUGGUUAGGGUACUUAACUAGGAUAUGUAGGUGCCAGAUCUCUGAUGGGGGAUGGGGGGGGGGCUAGAUCCCAGGUCUCCCAUGUCCUAGUGCACAGGUUUUUACCAUUAGCCUAUUUAUGGAGAAGGAUUACCUACUAUAUACUGAAGGCAAUGCUGUCAGGUAGCUGCAGUCAUUCAAGUAGAUAUCUCCCUGCUCAGACACUGAGACCUGCUAAGACAUCUCUAUCUUAUGGUAUCAAGAUCAAGCAGAACUGUGACCAGAUCGGGUUAUCUUAGCAGUUGGUUAAGAUUUCCCACUGAGAAUGGAGAGCUUUGUUUCACUGGGAUCCAUCCAUAAAAGCACUUAAGCACUGUCUCUUGCAAAGGGAAUGCCUUGUGAUUCUGUAAAGCAAAUAGUGUCUUCCUCCAGCGGCUCUCUUGUUCUCCAAAUGGAGAGUACUGAGAACUAUGCAUCUCCAUGGGCAAAACAGGAUUCUUCCAUUUGCCCAGGAGCAGGAAUAUACUUGAGAGGAUUUCCUUAGGAGUGUCUGUGCUCCAGUUCCUUUCCAGUUGGUCCCUACUGAAGUGUGUUGUGGACUAAGAGCUUAGAAACUGCCUCUGGCAUAUAUCUGAUGUAGAUGAACAGAAGUUGAGCUGCAUCUGGGGGUCAUGGCUUGCUCCCAACCAGGUCACAAUCACCCUGGCUGAUUUUUCUGACUCAGGUUCUGAUCAUUUGUGAGAAUAUCAUCUGAAUUAAACACUAAAACAGGAGUUGUAAAUUCAAUCUCUUCUCAAACUCCUUUAGUGAACUUAUUAGGUCCUAGUUUUGUUUUCAGUUGUCAACAUAAAUGGACUGAAAACAGUUCUCACUACAGGAUAUUUCCAUUUUUGUAAUCCUUCCUCCUACUUUUGCCCACACACUUAUGUCAGUGUCUUGCCAUAUAGCUCCUCCCCACCCUAUUAUUCCAAAUCUGUUAUCCUGAUCCGCAGUUCAACAACUUCAAUCCUGAUCCGCAGUUCCCUUGGUAUUCUUGCUGUAGCCUCCACAGCUCUCCGACUUGGGUUUACGCUAUUCUCCAUAGCCUCCUCCCCUUUGCAGCAGCUGCAGUCAGUUCUGGGAAGUUAAUCUUUAGCAGCUUCAGUUUUAUGAGUGCUGCAGAGAGAGCACUUUUUACAUCCUAGCUGAAACUGGUGCCAAAGCUCCACUCAGUGCAGCAGUCAGGAGUCCAUCUCUGCUCACAUAUUUCUCCCCUCUGCUACCCUGAGGUUCUCACUCCUCUAUGGAGCCCAAAAGUAGGGAGAGGGUCUUGUGUCAUUUUGUGUGUCAUUCUCAUCCCCUUAUCGCUGGCCAGGGACAAAAGGGAAGGUUAUCGCUACAGGUGAUUGCUUUGGCCUUGCCCAUGAUGGAUUUACAGGACUGGCUGAAAAGUGAGCUUCUCUCUCUUCUCAUUUUCCCUCAUUCUUCAUCUCCUGUCACAUUGCUGCUGGGGAACAUACUGUGGGAAUGUGGAGAGAGAGUUCUGUCUCCUGGGUCUGUGAAGCAUUUGCUGCAGCAAGGUGUGUGUAUGUUAUCAGGGCUACACUAAAAAAAGGUUUACUACCAUACCUAUGUCAGAAGUUGUAUGUUUUUUUUUACUGAUAUAGUAUACUGAUUACGAGCCCUAACAAAGAUGCAAUUAUAUGCAAGUAUAGUUUAUUUUGUUUCAUGACGUCUAUCUAAUAUUGUACAAUAACAAGUACAAU